UACAGCCAUACCAUGUUGAAACACUGGUUCUUGUACGAAAACUGAAGUUAAGCAAUGUUGAGCCUGGUUAGUACCUAGAUGGGUGACCAUUUGGAAAUAUCAGCUGCUGCAA